CGCGUAGGCGGCUUUUUAAGUCGGUGGUGAAAUCCCGUGGCUCAACUGCGGAACUGCCAUCGAUACUGGAAAGCUUGAAUCCGGAAGAGGUCGGCGGAAUUACUGGUGUAGCGGUGAAAUGCGUAGAUAUCAGUAGGAACACCGAUGGCGAAGGCAGCUGGCUGGACCGGUAUUGACGCUGAGGCGCGAAAGCGUGGGGAUCAAACAGGAUUAGAUACCCUGGUAGUCCACGCCCUAAACCAUGGAUACUUGGUGUGACCACCGCAGUGGUGGUUGUGCCGCAGCUAACGCAUUAAGUAUCCCGCCUGGGGAGUACGGUCGCAAGACUGAA
rnacentral:rRNA from 1 species